UACGAAGGGAGCUAGCGUUGUUCGGAAUUACUGGGCGUAAAGGGCGCGUAGGCGGGUUUCCAAGUCGGGGGGUGAAAUUCCAGGGCUCAACCCUGGGACGGCCUUCGAUACUGGAAGCCUGGAGAUCGGGAGAGGUGAGUGGAAUUCCGAGUGUAGAGGUGAAAUUCGUAGAUAUUCGGAGGAACACCAGAAGCGAAGGCGGCUCACUGGCCCGAGACUGACGCUGAGGCGCGAAAGCGUGGGGAGCAAACAGG
rnacentral:rRNA from 1 species